rnacentral:rRNA from 1 species
UACGUAGGAGGCGAGCGUUGUCCGGAUUUACUGGGCGUAAAGCGCGCGCAGGCGGCACACUAAGUACGAUGUGAAAUCUCCCUGCUCAACGGGGAGGGUGCAUAGUAAACUGGUGAGCUAGAGGACGGUAGAGGGGGGUGGAAUUGCUGGUGUAGCGGUGAAAUGCGUAGAUAUCAGGAAGAACACCCGUGGCGAAGGCGGCUCUCUGGGACGGUACUGACGCUGAGACGCGAAAGCGUGGGGAGCGAACAGG